AGGGUAUCGAGUUGAUAUCGAAGAUUUAGAAUUCUCAGGUAAGUACAUUUGAAAAUAGACCAAAUAUUAAAUCACAAAAAUACUGAACUCCGAGGAAAAGUCCCUAAUUAAGGUAGAUCAUAAGUAUAUAUUUUUUGAGACAGAAUUUUCUUAUAAUUUGCCAAAAUGAAGAUUUUACUAUGCUUUUUUCUAAAAUAUAAUAAAAAGUAUGGGUCACCGUGCUAUUUUUCAAGCUAUGAGUCUUCGAAAAUUGCCUAAAUUUGGUUAGAUUGUUCAUGAAAAAACAUAUUAGUGUGCAUAAAAAAUUCUAUAAGAUAGAAUUUUGAAAUAAAUUGUGAGAAGAUAGGUUUCAUAAUAUGAUUAAAGAAAAUAAAAAGAAAACAUGGUGUCACCGAACUUUUUUUCUUGCUACAAGUAAAAAUUCAAAAUUUCUCUAUUAGCCCAGUGUAAAUUUUGUACUAAAAGAGUUAUCUCCCCUUAAAUGGCUCAUUUGACAAAACUGAUUUAAAAACCAAAACACUUGAUAUUUGUGUAAAUAUUUUGAAUAAUACACUAAAUCAACAAGUUUUCUUUAUAAAAAUAAACGCUCUAACCAUUAAAUUUCAAAUCUGUCUCCAAAUUUGCAGAUUUGGGCAAAUAACUAGACUGAUGUGUUACUGUGAUUGUACAAUCCAAGAUGGCGGUAUACCAUGAAUCUACCUUAAAUGAGAAAAUCAAAUAAUAAAACACAUCAAACGAAUGUACAUCAACAGUCAUAUUCCUGACUUGGUACAGGCAUUUUAUAAAAAUGGCGGAUUGACCCUGGUUUCAUAGCGCUAAACCUCUCACUUGUUUGACAGUCGCAUUAUAUUCCACUUUAUGUUCAACGAUGCGCGAACAAAACAGAUAUCAUAGGCAAAAUUGUCAAAUUAGGGGUACUGCAGUCAUCACUGUGUCACAAUCACAAUUAGAACAAAAACAAACAAAUAUUUAACAAAGAAGCACAAAAAGCAUCUAUCAAAUUUAGCAACCACUUUCAUUGCUUACAUAUAUAUGUAUUUUAUCCAAGUGUUUUGCUCUAUGAACUGAUAUGUGCGAACUCCCAAUGUUUGAUACCGUUUUUAGUUUAAUCAAACAGCUCAGACUAUUAAAAAUCAAAGGAUAAUCGGCUGAUACUAAACGCAUAGUGAAACUUAAUAGUUAAAAUAACCAUCACAGCCAUGACGAAAAUAAAACACAUUUGAUUACUUCCAGAGCAAUCUUCUUUAUUGGAUGAAAUAGUAUUUCGCAGUCUGUUAAGUCGUUUGAAAGUAAGAAAUGACCAUGACCAAAAAAACAUCAAAAAAAUGAAGUAAUUUACAAUCCUUAUAGAAAAGUAAAGAAAAAAACCUAUACGAACAACCUUAACAUCGUUUAGAUAAGACGUCCUGUUUAACCUUAUACGGUGUCGCUAAAUGUAUAAAUGUCACAUUAUAGUUUUAAAACAGUUCGGGAAAAUUUGUGUGUUUAUCGAAACGUAACAUUAACUUUAUACAGAUAAAUUGUUUAAUAAGAUAUUAUUUUCCUCACAGAAUCGCACAGAGAACAGGACCCAGAGGAAAGUUCUUUCGUAGAAGUAAAUGAUUAUGCAGACAGAGAAAGUGUUGAAAUCGACGAACAAGAAAAUAAGUGGCGGAUACAAACCAUCAAAAGCCAUCUAAAACCCUUUCACCAUAUUCACAGAGAUCUGGCGAAAAAGAGAAAAUUUUUACAAGAAAAAAAAAUUAUUGAACAAAAAUUAAUUGAUAUGCGCAAUCAAGUGUGCUUGUUUGUUUACAUGCUGAAUGCUUUUUUGAUAACACUCAUAUACUCCUUGACACAGGUAGAUGUAUUUACAGGUUCUUUAUCCAUAUUUGUGGACUGCAGGGGGAAUCAAAUUGAGAUUGUUCCUAUAGCAGUACUCUUCAUAGUGGUGUUUGGUUUUCUACUCUUGAUUCAAUUUAUCUGUAUGAUUGUUGAUAGAUUCAAUAUGCUUGUAAAUAUUGCUGCCAAAACACCAAUAUUUGUCAACAAAGUCACUCCAAAGACUAAUGACUGAUGAUUGACAUUGGAUUAUAAUAAUAUUUUAGUUGUGUUUAGUUUUCUACUCUUGAAUCAAUUUAUCUGUAUGAUUGUUUAUAGAUUUACUGCGCUUGUACAUAUCUUAGCCAGUAAAUUUUUCUACAACAACAAAGUCAGUACUUCGUAGCCAAUGAUUGACAACUGUUAGUUCUGUAAGUUGUGGAAUUAUAUGCGACUGUCAUACAAGUGAAAGUUUUAGCUAGUUAUGAAACCAGUCGAAUCACCAGUUUCUACAUAAGGAAAUGCCUGUUCAAAGUUAGGAAUAUGACAGUUGUUUUCUUUCCGUUUGAUGUGUUUGAGCUUUGAUUGAUUGCCAUUUGACAAAGAACUUCCUGUUUUAAAUUUUACUCAGAGUUCGGUAUUUUUGUUAUUCAAAUUUUCAAUACUGACACAUGAUCAACUAUUAUUCCUGCAAUAGAUACAUAUCAGUGUAGUGGUUAAAUCGGAUGAUAUCGCCAUUUUCUUGUCAAUAACAAAAGGCGCGAUAAAUACAAAACAUUUAAUUAUAUCCUAUGUUUUAUGAAUUAUUCUUUCUUACAUUUAGUUAUACAAACUACUUAGAAAUGAUGUUAUAAAUUAGCA
rnacentral:lncRNA from 1 species